rnacentral:tmRNA from 1 species
CUUAGUUCAGCUAACGUCCCUUGUUUCUUUGUCUGUAGGAAAUAAGAGUGACGUCAAAUUACAGACUACCCUUUGAGACGUGCCUGGAUCUUGAGGGGGAAACUUACGGGCUGGUUUGUCCUUUAGCUGGCCACAAAGUAGAAGGACCAACGAGAACCUAAUUUGUGGCUGCGCUCGGAGAUGCUGGUGUGAUUCCACUUACGGACAGCGGUGCAACUCCGCUCACCUCCACCA